UGGAUAAACCGGAAAACCUUCCCCGGUAUGGAUAAUACCGGAAAACCUUACCCCGGAAUAAAUCUUUCCAUAUGGAAACACUUUUUCCUCAAAACGGCUUACUUAAAGCACGCAUAUUUUUAAAAAAUAUGGAUUUUUUUUGAGAUCUCAUUCAAAUUCCCUUGGUAAGAAAUCGCCAGAAGGCUUGGGAUCAUCAUCUGAAGAAAGAGAGCUUGGGAUCAUCAUCUGAAGAAAGAGA
rnacentral:misc_RNA from 1 species